GCCCAGAGCUGUAAGCCAGCUUGGCAGCUGGCAGUUUUUGCCUGUGUGAAGAAUAGGCAUUUCUUGUGUUUCCUGCAAGAGAACCUUUGCAGAACUUCUUUUGCUUGGAAAAUGGAUGCCUGGCUCGGAGUAAAGGGCAUGCAGUGCACAGUCC
rnacentral:lncRNA from 1 species